UAUCUCUGUAGAGUCUGCAUAUCAAUAAGCGGAGGAAAAGAAACUAACAAGGAUUCCCUUAGUAACGGCGAGUGAAGCGGGAAGAGCUCAAAUUUGAAAUCUUCAAGGUUCUACCUUGACGAAUUGUAGUUUAAAGAAGUGUUUUCUGUUAGAUGAGUAGCAAAAGUUCCUUGGAAUGGGACAUCAUAGAGGGUGAGAAUCCCGUAUUUGGUUAUUCAUUCUAGCUUUGUGAUACACUUUCAAAGAGUCGGAUUGUUUGGGAAUGCAGUCCAAAAUGGGUGGUAAAUUUCAUCUAAAGCUAAAUAUUGGCGAGAGACCGAUAGCGAACAAGUACCGUGAGGGAAAGAUGAAAAGAACUUUGAAAAGAGAGUUAAACAGUACGUGAAAUUGUCAAAAGGGAAGCGUUUGACACCAGUGUUGUUUUUCCGAAAAUCAAUUACGAAUGGCUUGAUUUUGUGUUGUAUUGACCUUAUCAGCUUUCUUCACUUUUUUCGAGUCUUUCUUAAUGCACUUUUCGGUUAACAAGUCAACAUCAAUUUCUUUUGUUGUAAAAGAGUAUUCGGAAGGUGGCUUUCUUUUCGGAGAAAGUGUUUAUAGUCCUAUACUUCUACAAUCGGAGAGAUUGAGGUCUGCAGCGUAGAUCCUUCGGGGUUAGAUACACUUGUGCUAAGAUGUAGCUUUUCAUAGACAACUUGUUGACUAAGUUUAGUCUUGCGGCUUACUCGCUUGUGCUAUUUUACCUACGCUUAGGAUGUUGACUGAUAUGUAGUCGUA
rnacentral:rRNA from 1 species